rnacentral:lncRNA from 1 species
CCUCAGGCCUCUUCCUCUCCCCAACUAACAACUAUACGGACAAACACAAUACGAGACCAACCACAUACACUUCCAGCAAUAGAACACACCCCACUACAAAUUUCCCCACCAACGAUACCAACUCCAACCCCAGUGCCCCCUCUCUCCUCAACAGAGGAAUUUCCACCUUUAUCAAAGCCCCUGCCAAAAAGACAACCAUCAUACUUACGGACACUAUCACUGGGAAAACAACCGACCCUGAGUGAAACCUAUAACCUUCGCAUACAGACUCUUUCAAAAACACAUCUCCACUCCCUACCCUCAACAUCCACUUUCACUGAUUCUUCCCUUUCCAAUCAAAAAGGAGAGGUAAGAAUAGCAACCCCUAUAACUGAAGAGGAGAAAUGGAAAAGCCCAGUGGGUCCCCCUACUCCCAAAGCAGCCACUCCUAUCAUAGCCCAGGUUCACCACACAGUCAACAGUCAAACAGAAACCAAAGCAGCCACUCUUAUCAUAGCCCAGGUUCACCACACAGCCAACAGUCAAACAGAAACCAAAACCAAAGCAGCCACUCCUAUCAUAGCCCAGGUUCACCACACAGUCAACAGUCAAACAGAAACCAAAGCAGCCACUCUUAUCAUAGCCCAGGUUCACCACACAGCCAACAGUCAAACAGAAACCAGUACACCUACAGUCACACCUAUUAAACAAAACACAAACUGCAAAAAAGUACAGGGUAA